GCUGACGUAGCUUAACCAAAGCAUAACACUGAAGAUGUUAAGACGAGCCCUAGAAAGCUCCGUAAGCA
rnacentral:tRNA from 1 species